rnacentral:sRNA from 1 species
GCCGGGCGUGGUGGUGGGCGUCUGUAAUCCCAGCUACUCAGGAGGCUGAGGCAGGAGAAUUGCUUGAACCCAGGAGGUGGAGGUUGCAGUGAGCUGAAACCGUGCCAUUGCAUUCCUGCCUGGGUGACAGAGCAAGACUCUGUCUCAA